rnacentral:pre_miRNA from 1 species
UUUGAUGAGACAGCAUAAUACAGUAUAUCUGCUAUCCACUAUCUGCUAUCCAGCAUAUACUGUAUCACCUUUUCCGCUGGGUAGCAGACACUGUAUAGCAUAUAUACUGCAUUACAGCAC